GACGAACGCUGGCGGCGUGCUUAACACAUGCAAGUCGAACGGAAAGGCCCUGCUUUUGUGGGGUGCUCGAGUGGCGAACGGGUGAGUAACACGUGAGUAACCUGCCCUUGACUUUGGGAUAACUUCAGGAAACUGGGGCUAAUACCGGAUAGGAGCUCCUGCUGCAUGGUGGGGGUUGGAAAGUUUCGGCGGUUGGGGAUGGACUCGCGGCUUAUCAGCUUGUUGGUGGGGUAGUGGCUUACCAAGGCUUUGACGGGUAGCCGGCCUGAGAGGGUGACCGGCCACAUUGGGACUGAGAUACGGCCCAGACUCCUACGGGAGGCAGCAGUGGGGAAUAUUGCACAGUGGGCGGGAGCCUGAGGCAGCAGCGCCGCGUGCGGGAUGACGGCCUUCGGGUUGUAAACCGCUUUCGGCUGUGACGAAGCGUGAGUGACGGUAAUGAGUGAAGAAGCACCGGCUAACUACGUG
rnacentral:rRNA from 1 species